CCUACGGGAGGCAGCAGUGAGGAAUAUUGGUCAAUGGACGAGAGUCUGAACCAGCGAAGUAGCGUGAAGGAUGACUGCCCUAUGGGUUGUAAACUUCUUUUAUAUGGGAAUAAAAUGUUCCACGUGUGGGAUUUUGUAUGUACCAUAUGAAUCCGGAUCGGCUAACUCCGUGCCAGCAGCCGCGGUAAUACGGAGGAUCUGAGCGUUAUCCGGAUUUAUUGGGUUUAAAGGGAGCGUAGGUGGAUUGUUAAGUCAGUUGUGAAAGUUGGCGGCUCAACCGUAAAAUUGCAGUUGAAACUGGCAGGCUUGAGUACAGUAGAGGUAGGCGGAAUUCGUGGUGUAGCGGUGAAAUGCUUAGAUAUCACGAAGAACUCCGAUGGCGAAGGCAGUUCACUGGACUGCAACUGACACUGAGGCUCGAAAGUGUGGGUAGCAAACAGGAUUAGAUACCCGUGUAGUC
rnacentral:rRNA from 1 species